rnacentral:rRNA from 1 species
AACGAACGCUGGCGGCAUGCCUAACACAUGCAAGUCGAACGAGACCUUCGGGUCUAGUGGCGCACGGGUGCGUAACGCGUGGGAACCUGCCCUUAGGUUCGGAAUAACUCCCCGAAAGGGGUGCUAAUACCGGCUAAUGUCUUCGGACCAAAGAUUUAUCGCCUUUGGAUGGGCCCGCGUUGGAUUAGUUAGUUGGUAGGGUAAAAGCCUACCAAGGCGACGAUCCAUAGCUGGUCUGAGAGCAUGAUCAGCCACACUGGGACGGAGACACGGCCCAGACGCCGACGGGAGGCAGGAGUGGGGAAUAUUGGACAAUGGGCGAAAGCCUGAUCCAGCAAUGACGCGUGAGUGAUGAAGGCCUUAGGGUUGUAAAGCUCUUGUACCCGGGAUGAUAAUGACAGUACCGGGAGAAUAAGCUCCGGCUAACUCCGUG